GUGCCAGCAGCCGCGGUAAUUCCAGCUCCAAUAGCGUAUAUUAAAGUUGUUGCAGUUAAAAAGCUCGUAGUUGGAUCUCGGGUCCGGGCUCGCGGUCCACCUCGCGGUGGUUACUGCCCGUCCCGACCUACCUACCGGUUUUCCCUUGGUGCUCUUAACUGAGUGUCUCGGGUGGCCGGAACGUUUACUUUGAAAAAAUUAGAGUGUUCAAAGCAGGCGCUUCGCCUGAAUAAUGUUGCAUGGAAUAAUGGAAUAGGACCUCGGUUCUAUUUUGUUGGUUUUCGGAACUCGAGGUAAUGAUUAAGAGGGACAGACGGGGGCAUUCGUAUGAUGGUGUUAGAGGUGAAAUUCUUGGAUCGCCGUCAGACGAACUACUGCGAAAGCAUUUGCCAAGAAUGUUUUCAUUAAUCAAGAACGAAAGUCAGAGGUUCGAAGACGAUCAGAUACCGUCCUAGUUCUGACCAUAAACGAUGCCGACUAGCGAUCCGCCGGAGUUGUUUCAAUGACCCGGCGGGCAGCUUCCGGGAAACCAAAGUCUUUGGGUUCCGGGGGAAGUAUGGUUGCAAAGCUGAAACUUAAAGGAAUUGACGGAAGGGCACCACCAGGAGUGGAGCCUGCGGCUUAAUUUGACUCAACACGGGAAAGCUUACCCGGCCCGGACACCGUAAGGAUUGACAGAUUGAGAGCUCUUUCUUGAUUCGGUGGGUGGUGGUGCAUGGCCGUUCUUAGUUGGUGGAGCGAUUUGUCUGGUUAAUUCCGAUAACGAACGAGACUCUAGCCUAUUAAAUAGUUCGCCGAUUUCGAUCUGUCGGCGUUAACUUCUUAGAGGGACAAGUGGCUUUUAGCCACGCGAGAUUGAGCAAUAACAGGUCUGUG
rnacentral:rRNA from 1 species